rnacentral:rRNA from 1 species
UCGUUUCGAAAGGAACGCUAAUCCGCNUACGUCCUACGGGAGAAAGCAGGGGACCUUCGGGCCUUGCGCUAUCAGAUGAUGCCUAGGUCGGAUUAGCUAGUAGGUGAUGGUAAUGGCUCACCUAGGCGACGAUCCGUAACUGGUCUGAUGAGGAUGAUCAGUCACACUGGAACUGAGACACGGUCCAGACUCCUACGGGAGGCAGCAGUGGGGAAUAUUGGACAAUGGGCGAAAGCCUGAUCCAGCCAUGCCGCGUGUGUGAAGAAGGUCUUCGGAUUGUAAAGCACUUUAAGUUGGGAGGAAGGGCAGUAAGUUAAUACCUUGCUGUUUUGACGUUACCAACAGAAUAAGCACCGGCUAACUUCGUGCCAGCAGCCGCGGUAAUACGAAGGGUGCAAGCGUUAAUCGGAAUUA